rnacentral:sRNA from 1 species
UGCCAAUCAAACUGCUACAAGACAACACCCUGAUCUGGCAUGGACAUCGCGGGUCCAAGCCUGUAGCCCCAAAUCGGAUAAUCUCUGCAGCUGAUAACAAGCAAAAGAGAAGCCAGGCAACAGCCAUAUUAAAGAAGAAAACAGUCAACUCUGAGCAGGAAGAAAUGUAAUGAAUUGAGUGCUGUCAGAGAUGUCUUCUGUUUGAACAAUCUGUGAUGGGCUGAAUGGCAGGGACUCCCUCAUCCAGUGCAGACACAGCCCAGGCAGACAGAAGGAAACGGAGCAUUAAUCCAACUGCAGUCACCCCAAAGUACAGGCCACUUGGAUCCAGAAGAGAAACUGGUUCCUUCUACAAGCUCUCCCGUUCUCCCUGGGGCCGUUCACAGCCCCCUUGUCUACGUUGUGGCUGUGCUUUCCCUGAUCCAACUUAGAAAUAAUGUUUCAUUCAAGAUAAGGCUCGUGGUUUAGGAGAUUGUGACCUGGCUUGCAUCAUUCUAAGACUUCUAUCGUCUGUUUUCAAAACCCAAGGAGGACCUCAUUUUCUGUGUGAUAGUUCCUCAUGCUUUGCCAGCCACUGGGUCUUUAAGGAAGCUUGCCAAGAGUUCCCGGCUGGGAAGG